rnacentral:rRNA from 1 species
AGUGAACGCUGGCGGUAGGCCUAACACAUGCAAGUCGAACGGCAGCACAGUAAGAGCUUGCUCUUACGGGUGGCGAGUGGCGGACGGGUGAGGAAUACAUCGGAAUCUACUUUUUCGUGGGGGAUAACGUAGGGAAACUUACGCUAAUACCGCAUACGACCUACGGGUGAAAGCAGGGGAUCUUCGGACCUUGCGCGAUUGAAUGAGCCGAUGUCGGAUUAGCUAGUUGGCGUGGUAAAGGCCCACCAAGGCGACGAUCCGUAGCUGGUCUGAGAGGAUGAUCAGCCACACUGGAACUGAGACACGGUCCAGACUCCUACGGGAGGCAGCAGUGGGGAAUAUUGGACAAUGGGCGCAAGCCUGACCCAGCCAUACCGCGUGGGUGAAGAAGGCCUUCGGGUUGUAAAGCCCUUUUGUUGGGAAAGAAAAGCAGCAGGUUAAUACCCCGCUGUUCUGACGGUACCCAAAGAAUAAGCACCGGCUAACUUCGUG